GCAUGGGCAUGGCGAAUUAAUCUUUCUGCGAAUUGAGAUGACGCCACUGGCUGGGCGUCAUCCCGGUUUCCCGGGUAAACACCACCGAAAAAUAGUUACUAUCUUUUAGAUACCCUGGUAGUCCACGCCGUAAACGAUGUCGACUUGGAGGUUGUGCCCUUGAGGCGUGGCUUCCGGAGCUAACGCGUUAAGUCGACCGCCUGGGGAGUACGGCCGCAAGGUUAAAACUCAAAUGAAUUGACGGGGGCCCGCACAAGCGGUGGAGCAUGUGGUUUAAUUCGAUGCAACGCGAAGAACCUUACCUGGUCUUGACAUCCACGGAAGUUUUCAGAGAUGAGAAUGUGCCUUCGGGAACCGUGAGACAGGUGCUGCAUGGCUGUCGUCAGCUCGUGUUGUGAAAUGUUGGGUUAAGUCCCGCAACGAGCGCAACCCUUAUCCUUUGUUGCCAGCGGUCCGGCCGGGAACUCAAAGGAGACUGCCAGUGAUAAACUGGAGGAAGGUGGGGAUGACGUCAAGUCAUCAUGGCCCUUACGACCAGGGCUACACACGUGCUACAAUGGCGCAUACAAAGAGAAGCGACCUCGCGAGAGCAAGCGGACCUCAUAAAGUGCGUCGUAGUCCGGAUUGGAGUCUGCAACUCGACUCCAUGAAGUCGGAAUCGCUAGUAAUCGUGGAUCAGAAUGCCACGGUGAAUACGUUCCCGGGCCUUGUACACACCGCCCGUCACCCGGUGAUUUCUCUGCCUUCGCGGGUUUUGAAUGGUUCGCGGCGGCAUUCAUCCAUCCACUCGGUAACGCAGAUCGGAUGAUUACGGUCUUUGCGGUAAAUCCGGCAUG
rnacentral:rRNA from 1 species